CUCCCAGCGAUUGCCGCUGAAGGACGCGAGUGCAGCGAUCCGUUCUCCAGCCCGGAUUCGGGACGGCAUCUGAAGGAGAGGUGGGACAGCAACCCCCAAAGUAACCUAAAUGCGUCUAAAAGGAAGAAGGGGGCUAGAGCGGAAUGCUGCCGGCAGCAGUGGGAGCCCGGGGAUGGGGAGCAGCGGCGCCUCCCGGGAAGACGCUGGCACAGCCCGUGGGCGACGUUGUCUGAAGGUCAGGAAGGACGCCGGGCCCGCACCUCGCACCGCGCGGAAAGGCAGGCAGAUCCAACAGGCAUGACAGGCGAGUCAACUCCUCCCGGGGCAGCGAUGCCGACCAUAGGGGCUCCGCAGUCUGCAAAGCUUUCAGAUGCCAGCUGCAGGUGCGGGAGUGCGUGUUUCUACACUCAGGGCAGUGUCUACCACCUGGGUCUGCCUCAGUGCCCCAUGCCUCUGUCACUACUGGAACUGCUGCACUAUUCAGUAGACUGCCAGCAAGACCUGCACAGGAGCAGGAUGAUUAGCUUUUUAUCAAUACAGCUACUGAGACAGAGGAGUCAGUUCUUGCUAAUGGUAGUUUGUAUACAUCAACUGCAAAUCCUUCAGUGGUUUAGUUCACUGAACACUAAUCUACUGUUUGUUUCAUUUUCUCUUCAAUUGUCAAUUCUGACUGUCAAAACAUUUCAGAAUUCAAGCGUUUUUUACCUCUUCAAAAGUAUUGCUUUGUUUCUUGUUGUUCCAUUCAACUUACAGCAGGCUUUAAGUAAGGUCUUUAUUUUCCAACCAAAUUAAAAAAAAAAAAAACAGCAUAAUAUUCUUUUUAAGAAGUGUGUGUUUCCCUUAAGCCAAAACUAUAAAAGGAUUUUUCAGCCAUUUCUGAUAGCUCUGAAGCUCUGGUCCCUUGAGAUUUCUUGAAGAUGAACUUUCUAGUUGAGCAUUUGCUUCAGCUAUCACAAGACCAAAUUUUAGCUGCCCACCCUCAGAAAAACUGAAACAGACAUGUAUUGAUUAUUCUGUCUUAAUGACAUGUGAAUUCAAGAAUGCAAACUAUAUAUUUUUAAUUUUUUUUCUUUUUUUAUUUUAAUGAACACAGAUGGCCCAGCCUAUUUUAUGAAUAAGACCCUUGGUAGGCUGCCAUUUACAGCCUCUAGCUCCUAAGCUGACAACUUCUUGUUUGUUUUCUACCUUUUCGACUCCCCUAGUCACUGUAUUUCCAUUCCUUUCUUUGUGUCCUGUUCUCUGGAGAAGUUCUUGCCUUACCAGACUGAUUGAGAGUCCCUUCUCAUCAGGACUCUGAUUCCUGUGGAUAGGCAUGAUCAGGGAAAUAUCCUGUAGCUCUUACCUCCAGGACUUACAGCUCCACAUUACAAGGCUUCCUUGGCAGACAGAAGUUGUCCAUAAAGCCAAGAAUCCAUCUUUAUCACUGCAGUGAUUAAAUAAAGAUGCCACUAUCCAAAGCAUAUCAAGUUUUUGUCAUGAGAUUAUUAUUUCAAGUACUUUUGGGAAGAAUUUUUCCACCAGUGAAUAAGUCAUCCAAACCGGAGCAUUCUGGAAUCUGUCAGCUUAUACAGGAGUUUAGAAGCAAAGAAGGUAAAAAAAAAUACUGUUAUAUUUUGAUGCUGUUGAAACAUUCUACUUUGAGGUAUCAAAAGUGCCACACCUUUUCCAUGAGCAAAUCACUUUGCCUUGACUCUUUGCUUCAAGCAAUACAUGUGUGUAUGAAAAAUAAACAAAAUCAUAGCAGAGUAAAUUGGAUUUUUUUCAGAAUUCUUUUGUCAUGGAGAGGGAAAAAGAGGCCACACUCUUCCUCUUUGUUUCAAUUUAAAGUGCAAGCAAGAUUCAAAAUGUCAAACACACUUUACAACAGAAUUUCUAUUUUCCCAGGUAAUUCUGUGCCUCGCCUUCUUUUAUUACUCUGUGUCUUGGAAAAGAAAAUGAUCAGAGGGAAGCAGCAUACUUGGCUGAAAUGAUAGCUUGGUGUCAGAUGCUAUGGCCUGUAGUUCUUUUUCUGUGUUAAAAGAGUAGUCUCAAGUUCUGACCUCAGAAGGGAGGCCCUCACCUCAAAAGCAAAAUGUCAGUCUCUGAGUUAUAACAACAAAUUUAUUGUUUAACAUUUUAAACUGUUAAUUAAGCAUGAAGUGAAUGUGUGCUUGUGUUAGUUUAAUACAGCCUGAUAUUUAGUGGGAGUGGGAGAAGCCACAGAGGCAACUUUUGAGAAAAACAAACAAACAACUGCUCAAAGCUUCUACUAUGUCUAGCAGAGCCAAUACCUGAAGGCUCUGAAAAUGGACAUGUUACUAGCUGUUCUUUACAAUUAAAGAAGUUGGUAACACCUCUGUGAUGACAUUUUUAAGUAGGGAAAAAAAACAUGUGUACACUCUCCUUCUUCUUCUUCCUAGGGGUGGGGAGGCAGCCAAUGGGGGGCCAUGUUGGGGAAGAUGAAACAGGAAAGCCUUAUAAAUAUGAUUGCUUAGCAAAAGAUUUUGAGAAUAUAGAAACUAUAAGCAAGAUUUAAAUGUAAUCAAGUUUUGAAAUACCAAGCCUUAGUUACUGAACAACUGGAAAACAAUAGUACAGCCAGCUAAAGGUAAUCCCCUUUUGAUUAAACAAUACCCUCUGCUUGCAGACAAGUCCAAGGGUCAGAACAGACCCUACUAUCUUAGCAAAAGGGGUCCAAAAAGCAGUUUUUAGGGUUUAAAAUGUAACACAGUAUAGUAAUAUAAUUAUUCUUAUAAGCUGUAUGUAAAUGCCAUAAGGUUUAUAUCUUAUACUAAAUUAGUUAAUGAAAAUUAAAAUAUUCAACACAAAAGAAGAUUUAUUGUAUUAUAACAAAAACUUCUCUCUCUUACCCUCUCUUACUCAAUUAGCCCCUCUUACUCUCUUACUCUUUCAGCUCUCUCUUUUGGGCCUGCUUGGAGCUGCAGCUGGCAGCUCCAAACAGGGCCCCUACACCCACACCUGUUACAAUAACCCACAAGUUCCAAAACCUAACUUCAAAAAUCUCCCAUCUCUAUCCGUCCCAGCUGUCCUACCCACCCUCACUCCUACAGGGCCAUGCCGGCGCAGCCAGAACCAUGCCACUAGGGCCAUCCUGGCACCACAAGCAGCCAUGCAUCCAGGACCAUGCAGCCAUCUCUGCACGGCUCACAGUGAGCUGUGCCUGCUUAGCUGCUUUCAGCCAGCCUUGCUGCAAACAGAAGGGCAGGGGUGGCGGCAGCAGCUUCUCCUUUUGGGUGCCCCACAUAAAGAGAGAUGCUGAACAGCACCGAUGUCAUGGUGGCAGGCACCACCCGCGUGGCUGCUGGGGUGACCCUGUGGCUGACAGCGAGGGGCAGGAGGAGCAAUUCUGCAAUGCAGAGCCCGGAUGGGAUCAACUUUUCAGUGCUGUGAAACCCUGUAAGAACCUUUCAAUUGAUAGAACUUGAGAACAAACAAACCUAUGAACACCAAUUCUCUCCCAAGUCAGAGAAAAGGGAAAGGUGAAGACAUGUGAGGAGAACAACACGGCAACACUAACAUCAGUGAAAAGGAGGAAGGGGGAGGAGGAGAUGCUCCAAACAUCAGAGCUGAGAUUCUUCUGCAAGCCAUGAUGAAGACUAUAAUACAACAAACAGUUUCCCUGUAAUUCAUGAAGUGCAUGGAGGGAUGCAGAGAUCCAUUAGGCAAUUGAACACUUUGUCUGGGCUGUCCGAGAAUCCUUCUGCAGCAUGACUUCUAAAGGUGGAAGAGCAACGAGUACCAAUUGCCAACUCAACUGUGCACCGCCGGCAGUUUCCAACAAAUCAAGAUGCCGUGAUCCCCAUCCACAGAAUGACCCAUGAGCUGGAGAGCCAAGGGGUGGUGAGCAAAACCCACUCACCCUUCAAGAGUCCCAUCUGGCCUGUGUGCAAGUCUGAAGGAGAGUGGAGAUUGACUGUGGACUAUCAUGGCUUGAAUGAAGUGACUCCACCGCUGAGCACUGCUGUGCCGGACAUGCUGGAACUCCAGUACGAGCUGGAGUCCAAGGCAGCAAAGUGGUAUGCCACUGUUGACAUUACUAACACGUUUUUCUCCAUUCCUCUGGCAACAAAAUGCAGGCCUCAGUUUGCCUUCACCUGGAGGGACAUGCAGUACACCUGGAACCGACUACCUGCAUUCUGCACCAAAAUUGUCGUGUUUUGACAUUGGCCAAAGCCAGGCACCCACAAAAAAAACCCUAUUUACUUAUUCUCCUCUGCUGUAGUUGAGCAGAGAAGAAUGAGUAAAUAGGUUUUUCUUGGGUGCCUGGCUUUGGCCAAUGUCAAACCACUACAGUGCAUAUCUUUAGAUACUACAGAUACAUGUAGAGCAAUUAAUCUUAGGUGUGAUGCACAUGCUGUCAGAUUAGGCUGUUAAAGUAUUCUGCUCUUUACACUCAGAUGUUUCUGAAGAGACCCUGGUAGUUAGAUGCAAUCUGAAAGCUCAAGAAUCCUCAUAACUUCCUAUUUCAGAUUGAACUUGAUCUCCACUGCCUCACUUUGAUAAGAAAUUUAAACAUGUGAUAAAGUAAUUUUCUAGGUAGAGCAUAUUUGCUGAAUGAGAUGAGAGGAAUAGCAGUACUUGAAAAUAAAUCUAUGUAAUCCACAAGAAAUAAACAUAUAUGUCAUCUUAGAAUGUA